rnacentral:rRNA from 1 species
AGAGCGAACGCUGGCGGCAGGCCUAAUACAUGCAAGUCGAACGGACCCUUCGGGGUUAGUGGCGGACGGGUGAGUAACACGUGGGAACGUGCCCUUUGGUUCGGAACAACUCAGGGAAACUUGAGCUAAUACCGAAUGUGCCCCCAUCCUUAAACAAGAUGGGUGGGAAAGAUUUAUCGCCAUUGGAGCGGCCCGCGUCUGAUUAGCUAGUUGGUGGGGUAAAGGCUCACCAAGGCGACGAUCAGUAGCUGGUCUGAGAGGAUGAUCAGCCACACUGGGACUGAGACACGGCCCAGACUCCUACGGGAGGCAGCAGUAGGGAAUCUUGCGCAAUGGGCAAAGCCUGACGCAGCCAUGCCGCGUGAAUGAUGAAGGUCUUAGGAUUGUAAAAUUCUUUCAGCGGGACGAUAAUGACGGUACCCGCAGAAGAAGCCCGGCUAACUUCGUGCCAGCAGCCGC